GUGAGUCAUCGAAUCUUUGAACGCACAUUGCGCCCCCUGGUAUUCCGGGGGGCACGCCUGUUCGAGCGCCAUUUCGACCCUCAAGCCCCGGCUUGGUGAUGGGCUUCCGCCGCGCGGGCGGGCCCGAAACCCGUAGGGCGUCGCGGCAGCGGGCUCUGAGCGUAGCAAGAGAGCGCGAAGCCUCCCUCGCUCCGGAGAACCCUCUCCACGGCCGCCUGGAAAAAAGAAACCCACCGCCGGCGAAAGAGGGGGCUCGACCCCCCCGUUCGCCGCUGAAAGGUUGGCCUCGGAUCAGGCGGGGAUACCCGCUGAACUUAAGCAUAUCAAUAAGCGGAGGA
rnacentral:misc_RNA from 1 species